AAACUCAGAAUAUAUUUGGGGACGCACCGGUCAGUGAACGUCAAACCUAGCCGUAUGGCUUGCUCCGCUCGUCGUCGUGCCCCGGCCUCCCUAUCCGAUUUAAAGGCACGUCGCGCGGUUCUCCCGGCUCUUUUCAGAGUUUAAAAAAUUAUAAAAAUUUUCGCGAUCCGUCGGCCGUUGAGGCAUCAUCGACCGACUACUCGCGCCCAUCGGCAUUCUACCGUUAAACGUGUCACAACACUUUAAAAUCGUGUUCGUCACGUGGUGAAACGCCCCUACUAACGUAUCACUGACCACAAAUUACAAACUUCAACGUCCCCAACAAAAAUUUUGCCUUUUUUUUAUUUUUUUAUUUUUUA